AACGAACGCUGGCGGCAUGCCUAACACAUGCAAGUCGAACGAGACCUUCGGGUCUAGUGGCGCACGGGUGCGUAACACGUGGGAAUCUGCCCUUUGCUUCGGAAUAACAGUUAGAAAUGACUGCUAAUACCGGAUGAUGUCGAAAGACCAAAGAUUUAUCGGCAAAGGAUGAGCCCGCGUAGGAUUAGGUAGUUGGUGGGGUAAAGGCCUACCAAGCCGACGAUCCUUAGCUGGUCUGAGAGGAUGAUCAGCCACACUGGGACUGAGACACGGCCCAGACUCCUACGGGAGGAAGCAGUGGGGAAUAUUGGACAAUGGGCGAAAGCCUGAUCCAGCAAUGCCGCGUGAGUGAUGAAGGCCUUAGGGUUGUAAAGCUCUUUUACCAGGGAUGAUAAUGACAGUACCUGGAGAAUAAGCUCCGGCUAACUCCGUG
rnacentral:rRNA from 1 species